rnacentral:rRNA from 1 species
UGGGGAAUAUUGGACAAUGGGCGCAAGCCUGAUCCAGCCAUGCCGCGUGAGUGAUGAAGGCCCUAGGGUUGUAAAGCUCUUUCACCGGUGAAGAUAAUGACGGUAACCGGAGAAGAAGCCCCGGCUAACUUCGUGCCAGCAGCCGCGGUAAUACGAAGGGGGCUAGCGUUGUUCGGAUUUACUGGGCGUAAAGCGCACGUAGGCGGACUUUUAAGUAAGGGGUGAAAUCCCGGGGCUCAACCCCGGAACUGCCUUUGAUACUGGAAGUCUUGAGUAUGGUAGAGGUGAGUGGAAUUCCGAGUGUAGAGGUGAAAUUCGUAGAUAUUCGGAGGAACACCAGUGGCGAAGGCGGCUCACUGGACCAUUACUGACGCUGAGGUGCGAAAGCGUGGGGAGCAAACAGG